rnacentral:lncRNA from 1 species
AGAAAUACUGUAGAUUUGGGUUUGUGAUUUAGAAAUUAGGAUAACAAAAAUAUUUGUGGAUAGAGGAGUAUUCUUUCAGAAUUUUUUAUCAAUAUAUUGUAUCUUUAAUAAUUUUCUUAAAAGCUGCUAUUUUUGGAAAGUUUUCAUUUUUUUGAGAACUUUUAUAAAUUUGAGUUUGUGAUUUAGAAAUUAGGAUAACAAGAAUAUUAGUGGAU